AGAUCGUGACCUGAGCCGAAGUCGGACGCUUUAACCGACUAAGCCACCCGGGCACCCCUGCCUGUUUCAUUCUUGACCACAUACUUGAACAGGGCCACCCUGACAGUCACCGAAAGUGUACCUGGAGACGCCCGUGCAGGUGCAGGCAUUUCUGGGGUGGAGGGUUCUGGAGUCCACCCCCGUGGCUCUGCCCUCACCCCCGCCUACCAGGCCCACACUCCCACCUGCUCACCAAGGCUCCCUGGCCCCCCGGGGCUGGCCUCUGGCCACCUGUGUGCCCUGGUGCACAUCCACCCAUCCACACCUGACGUUCUGUGUGGCUGCCGCUGGCCACCGGGGAGCCCCGACCCCCAAGGGUAGUGAGCUCCGGCAGGGGCCCAUGUCCAGCAAGGGGCGCUGGCCCAACUGCAUCUCUGCCCGCGAGGCCCCAGGACACCGUCCGCGAUGGCCCGCUGGGAAGCGUGGCUGUGCUGGCUGUGGCUUGUGGCCCAGAAAGUGCCUCAGAGUCACUCCUGCCCACGGCCAAGCCGUGCAGGCAGCAUCGCCACCAGGCCGCGAAACCCAGGCGCGUGCCAGCCCCUCUCGUGGGAAGGAGGACAAAGGCUGGCCCUGCCCCCGCCGUGCCCACUGGUCCUCUCCCGGUAUCUCCAGUUUCUUGCAGGAGCCUCCAGUACGGCAGCUCGUCCGCAGAGUGGCCCUCGGAGAGCGGCCCUGUCUCCUCCAGGAGGCGCAGCCUAGCGUGGCAGUGUGGCAGAGGUGGGCAGGGAGCGGAGCGGCCGGCUGACGUCUCUGCGGCAGCCCAGUGGCUCCAGCGGCAGGCCCGGGGGUGUAAUCAGUUAAGAUGGGGCCUCCUGAAGUCCUGACUGCCGUCCUCACGAAAAGGGGAUUUUGGACAGACGCACAGAGGGAAGAUACCACCUGCAAACCAAGGCAGGGGGCCUGGAGCAGACCCUUCCCUUGUACCCUUCAAAAGGAAUCAACCCUGCCCAUGGCUGGACCGUGGGCUUCCAGGCUCCAGAACUCCUGUGCAAACGGAGAUAGUCCCCAGUUGUGAGAACCAAACCUGGCAGAGCAAGUGAAGACGGGGUCUGGGACUUCGGCACACGGGGAGACCUGGAAGCCGCUCCUUGAGGCCCCGCUGCCCCUGUGCUACAGGACAGAUGAAGGGGGCGAGGGGAAGGUGCGGCCAGGGUGGACCCAUCUGGUGACUCCCAGGCUGGGCAUCGAGGGUGGAUUAAACUAGGCAAGAUGCCUGACCUGUACUUCAGAAUUAAAUUUCUUUGCAUCUUGCUCCAAA